GUGUUGUAUGAAAGUAGAGAAGGUUAGCACUCCCCUUGACAAGGAUGGAAGAGGCUCUCGGGCCUGACAACACGCAUACGGUUAAGGCAUUGCCACCUACUUCGUGGCAUCUAACUACUGUUUUUG
rnacentral:ncRNA from 1 species